GAUGAACGCUGGCGGCGUGCCUAAUACAUGCAAGUCGAGCGAACAGACGAGGAGCUUGCUCCUCUGACGUUAGCGGCGGACGGGUGAGUAACACGUGGAUAACCUACCUAUAAGACUGGGAUAACUUCGGGAAACCGGAGCUAAUACCGGAUAAUAUAUUGAACCGCAUGGUUCAAUAGUGAAAGACGGUUUUGCUGUCACUUAUAGAUGGAUCCGCGCCGCAUUAGCUAGUUGGUAAGGUAACGGCUUACCAAGGCAACGAUGCGUAGCCGACCUGGGAGGGUGAUCGGCCACACUGGAACUGAGACACGGUCCAGACUCCUACGGGAGGCAGCAGUAGGGAAUCUUCCGCAAUGGGCGAAAGCCUGACGGAGCAACGCCGCGUGAGUGAUGAAGGUCUUCGGAUCGUAAAACUCUGUUAUUAGGGAAGAACAAAUGUGUAAGUAACUAUGCACGUCUGGACGGUACCUAAUCAGAAAGCCACGGCGAACUACGU
rnacentral:rRNA from 1 species